UACGGAGGGUGCGAGCGUUAUCCGGAUUUACUGGGUUUAAAGGGUGCGUAGGUGGGUCUGUAAGUCAGUGGUGAAAUCUCCGAGCUUAACUCGGAAACUGCCAUUGAUACUAUAGGUCUUGAAUUAUCUGGAGGUAAGCGGAAUAUGUCAUGUAGCGGUGAAAUGCUUAGAUAUGACAUAGAACACCAAUUGCGAAGGCAGCUUACUACGGAUCGAUUGACACUGAGGCACGAAAGCGUGGGGAUCAAACAGG
rnacentral:rRNA from 1 species